rnacentral:rRNA from 1 species
GAUCCUGGCUCAGGAUGAACGCUAGCGACAGGCUUAACACAUGCAAGUCGAGGGGCAGCGGGGAGUAGCAAUACUCUGCCGGCGACCGGCGCACGGGUGAGUAACGCGUAUGCAACUUGCCUAUCAGAGGAGAAUAGCUCAUCGAAAGAUGAAUUAAUGCUCCAUAAAACAGGGGUCCCGCAUGGGGAUAUUUGUUAAAGAUUCAUCGCUGAUAGAUAGGCA